UAGGCUGUGCUCUAGAAAGCAUCCGACAAA
rnacentral:piRNA from 1 species